GACAUUAUUACAUAGAUUGGCAUAAUAAUUAUGUUCAUUUUUUUUUUUCAUUUGAACGAUUACCAACCAAAGAAAAAUGAAAAUAUUAAUACAAAAUAAAAAAAAAUCAUACAGAAAAAAACAUUAAUUGCACGUGCUGGCUGCUAGAAGAACUAACAAAAAUUGCAGUUAAUGUUGCAAGCCAUCAGCAAAAAGAAAAAAAUUCCCCCAGAAUACUCCCCUUUUCCAGUUCAUUGGUGGGCCAUUUCAUGUACCAAAAACUUGUAGUAAUUCCAAAUGAUUUUAGCUUACUACAACUAUACAUAUUAGGCAUGCCACUUGUUUGAAAUACUCAAAGAAUUAUUCGGUUUUUUACUUAUCGAUAAAUGUAGGGUGUAAUGAUAAAAUAUAUUACACAUUUAGAGAGAGAAUUUGAUUUGAAUUCUAAAGACGACACUAUUGGGAGGAGCAUCCACGAACCUUGAAAGAAUUAGUUUAGAUACCUUAAUAAGUCAUAGUCGUUAAGGCACAUUGUGCACUUAGAGAGAGAAUUUAGGUUUCAACUCUGAAGACAACAUUGUUGAGAGGGACAAUCACGAACCCUAAAAAGAUUAAUCUUCAUAAAUCAUAAAAUAAACAUGAAAAGUAUUUAAUUUAAAAAAUAAUUUGCACCAACAACACUAACCCAUAAAUAAAUGUGGCUGAGCACAUCUAUGUAUAAAUGAUAAGCAUAUAAUAUAUAUAUUCCUUGUUAGAAGAAGAGAGCCCUUAUUCACACACAUGAAACUGAUAAAAUCCAAGGCAAAACUGUUGGUUGGUUUUGCAUUUCAAACCCUCGAUAAAUAAUUUAUUAUGAUGAUACAAUAACAAUAUGUAUAUAUAUAUAUUUUUUUGCUUCAUUUAAAUUACACUGUUGUCAAAGACAAAACAGAGGAUCAACCAAACAAUUCAAACUUACAGCAAAUAGAACUUGGAACACUGACCAUGAAAAGAAAUAAAACAACCUGCUAAUUCUACAAAACAAAAUUUCACCACCAAACUUUAAACAUUUACGCCCGAUUAACACCUGCCAUCGCCAAGGAGAAAGCCAUAUCGUUACCAUUCUUUUCCGUCAAUGAGAAAAUAAUAGAAUUCCCACCUUAAACAUAGCGAUCUCAAUAUAUAUUAUAAGAUUAUUGUUAUAAUAUUUAAUACAAACCAUAUCUAGAUUAAACCAAUGAGAUGAGAAAGGAACAUAUUAUAUAAUGCAUGAAAGCCAGAAGAGUCC
rnacentral:lncRNA from 1 species